UCAGUGCUGCAGAUAGUACUGUCUUUGUUGUUGAUCCCGCACGCAGUGCUACCGAGCAGGCAGACUCAGACAACGCAGCAAAAAGAUUGCGAUGGCAAAGGCAGUCAUGGAGGCUUUUCCAAAGAAAGCAGAAAUGUCAUUUGGGACAGCUCCAAGAUUGAUGGCAGAUGACAGAAAACACUUGGCUCUCGAGCUCCUGGAAGCCUCAGUGUUUAACACAGAGACCAGCUGUGCCAUGUGCUCAGCAGUCAAACCACCAAUUAAAGGGCCUGACUUAACAAACUGGAU